rnacentral:rRNA from 1 species
AUCCACGGCCAUACCACCCUGAAUGCCCUUAAUCUUGUCUGAUCUCAGAAGCUAAGCAGGAUCAGGCCUGGUUAGUACUUGGAUGGGAAGACUUUGGGAACUCUUAGAGAUAGACU